rnacentral:rRNA from 1 species
CGAGGCGAACCGGGGAAACUGAAACAUCUCAGUACCCCGAGAAAAAGAAAUCAACCGAGAUUCCCCCAGUAGCGGCGAGCAAACGGGGAGCAGCCCAGAGUCAACAUCAAUAUUUACCACAGGAGAAGGGUCUGGAAAAGCCGGCAAUAAAGGGUGAUAGCCCCGUAUCUAAAGCGGUAAGUGUUGUGAACUCGAAGAGUAGGGCGGGACACGUGUUAUCCUGUCUGAAUAUGGGGGGACCAUCCUCCAAGGCUAAAUACUCCUGACUGACCGAUAGUGAACCAGUACCGUGAGGGAAAGGCGAAAAGAACCCCGGCGAGGGGAGUGAAAUAGAACCUAAGACCGUGUACGUACAAGCAGUAGGAGCACCCGAAAGGGUGUGACUGCGUACCUUUUGUAUAAUGAGUCAGCGACUUAUAUUCUGUAGCAAGGUUAACCGCAUAGGGGAGCCGUAGGGAAACCGAGUCUUAACUGGGCGUUAAGUUGCAGGGUAUAGACCCGAAACCCGGUGAUCUAGCCAUAAGCAGGUUGAAG